GUACACGCUGUGACUAGCAUAUCAAUAAGCGGAGGAAAAGAAACUAACAAGGAUUCCCUUAGUAACGGCGAAUGAAGCGGGAAGAGCUCAAAUUUGAAAUCUUGAAAGGUUACCUUUCACGAAUUGUAGUUUAAAGAAGUGUUUUCUGUUACGAUCAUAAUAUAAGUUCUUUGGAAUAGGACAUCAUAGAGGGUGAGAAUCCCGUAUUUGACCUUUACUUUCAACUUUGUGAUACACUUUCAAAGAGUCGGAUUGUUUGGGAAUGCAGUCCAAAAUGGGUGGUAAAUUUCAUCUAAAGCUAAAUAUUGGCGAGAGACCGAUAGCGAACAAGUACCGUGAGGGAAAGAUGAAAAGAACUUUGAAAAGAGAGUUAAACAGUACGUGAAAUUGUCAAAAGGGAAGCGUUUGACACCAGUGUUGUUUUCUCGAAAAUCAAUUAAAGAACUGUUUAUGCUAAGUUGUUUAGACUUUAUCAGCUAACUGUUUAGUUUUGAGCUUUUCUUUAAUGCACUUUUCAGUUAACAAGUCAACAUCAAUUUCUUUUGCUGUAAAAAAGCUUGAGGAAGGUGGCUUGAGAUUCGUCUUAAGUGUUUAUAGCCUCUUGCCUAUGCAGUCGGAGAGAUUGAGGUCUGCAGCGUAGAUCCUUCGGGGCUAAAUGCAUUUGUGCUAAGUUAUAGUAUUUUAUAGACAACUUGUUGACUAUGAUUUAGUCUUGUAGCUUACUCGCUUAUGCUAUUUUACCUACGCUUAGGAUGUUGAGCGCAUGUCUCUCUCU
rnacentral:rRNA from 1 species